rnacentral:rRNA from 1 species
UACGUAGGGGGCAAGCGUUGUCCGGAAUCAUUGGGCGUAAAGAGCGUGUAGGCGGCUCGGUAAGUCCGCUGUGAAAGUCCAGGGCUCAACCCUGGAAUGCCGGUGGAAACUGUCGAGCUCGAGUCCGGAAGAGGCGAGUGGAAUUCCUGGUGUAGCGGUGAAAUGCGUAGAUAUCUGCAGGAACACCCGUGGCGAAAGCGGCGCGCUGGACCACUACUGACGCUGAGGAACGAAAGCUAGGGGAGCAAACAG